rnacentral:rRNA from 1 species
CCUACGGGAGGCAGCAGUGAGGAAUAUUGGUCAAUGGGCGCGAGCCUGAACCAGCCAAGUAGCGUGAAGGAUGACUGCCCUACGGGUUGUAAACUUCUUUUAUAAAGGAAUAAAGUGAGGCACGUGUGCCUUUUUGUAUGUACUUUAUGAAUAAGGAUCGGCAAACUCCGUGCCAGCAGCCGCGGUAAUACGGAGGAUCCGAGCGUUAUCCGGAUUUAUUGUGUUUAAAGGGAGCGUAGAUGGGUUGUUAAGUCAGUUGUGAAAGUUUGCGGCUCAACCGUAAAAGUGCAAUUGAUACUGGCGGCCUUGAGUACAGUUGAGGUAGGUGGAAUUCGUGGUGUAGCGGUGAAAUGCUUAGAUAUCACGAAGAACUCCGAUUGCGAAGGCAGCCUACUAAACUGCCACUGACAUUGAUGCUCGAAAGUGUGGGUAUCAAACAGGAUUAGAUACCCCUGUAGUC